CCUACGGGUGGCAGCAGUGAGGAAUAUUGGUCAAUGGACGAGAGUCUGAACCAGCCAAGUAGCGUGAAGGAUGACUGCCCUAUGGGUUGUAAACCUCUUUUAUAUGGGAAUAAAAUGUUCCACGUGUGGGAUUUUGUAUGUACCAUAUGAAUAAGGAUCGGCUAACUCCGGUCCAGCAGCCGGGGUAAUACGGAGGAUCCGAGGGUUAUCCGGAUUUAUUGGGUUUAAAGGGAGCGUAGGUGGAUUGUUAAGUCAGGUGUGAAAGUUUGCGGCUCAACCGUAAAAUUGCAGUUGAAACUGGCAGUCUUGAGUACAGUAGAGGUGGGCGGAAUUCGUGGUGUAGCGGUGGAAUGCUUAGAUAUCACGAAGAACUCCGAUUGCGAAGGCAGCUCACUGGACUGCAACUGACACUGAGGCUCGAAAGUGUGGGUAUCGAACAGGAUUAGAUACCCGGGUAGUC
rnacentral:rRNA from 1 species